rnacentral:rRNA from 1 species
AAUGAACGCUGGCGGCAGGCCUAACACAUGCAAGUCGAACGGAUCCUUCGGGAUUAGUGGCGGACGGGUGAGUAACACGUGGGAACAUACCCUUUGGUACGGAAUAGCCUCGGGAAACUGGGAGUAAUACCGUAUGUGGUCGAGAGACGAAAGAUUUAUCGCCAAAGGAUUGGCCCGCGUUGGAUUAGGUAGUUGGUGGGGUAAUGGCCUACCAAGCCGACGAUCCAUAGCUGGUUUGAGAGGAUGAUCAGCCACACUGGGACUGAGACACGGCCCAGACUCCUACGGGAGGCAGCAGUGGGGAAUGUUAGACAAUGGGGGAACCCCUGAUCUAGCCAUGCCGCGUGAUCGAUGAAGGCCUUAGGGUUGUAAAGGUCUUUCAGGUGGGAAGAUAAUGACUGUACCACCAGAAGAAGCCCCGGCUAACUCCGUGCCAGCCGCCGCAGUAACAC